rnacentral:sRNA from 1 species
AAUAAGAGUAUAUCAGGUGGUGCAGUAUUCUAGUCGGCACUGUCGACCUUCAGGGCGGGCCUAAAAAUCCGUCGAAGGGCAUAUCGAUGAAGUCCCUUGUUUUGGCUUUUGACGCCCAGUUGAGGGCUGAUUCAGGGGGUUAAGGAGGAUGGGGCGAUCCGCAAUGGCAUGCGGGCGUUGACCCUGCCUCCGUGGAGACCCGCAUUUGCGGGAGUAACCUGUGAACGUGUUACCGCGAGGAGAUACUGCAACAGUGUAGCCUGCCUUGAGUGGCUUAGGUGGAUGGAUUGACAGUUUCAUAAGUUAAUUGGGCCCAAUGCUUAGAAAUAUUGCUAUUCGAAACCUAAUCUGCAAAAGAGGCUAAGGGUCGAUUUGUGUUGCCGAGGAAAACUCCUAGGCUGUUCGAAAGAAGUAUGAUGGGGAUUAUGGUGUGCACUCAGUGGUAAUUCAGUCUUGCAUAUGGCGACAAUGCAAAAUGCAUAAUAAAGGGAAACCGCUGGGACGGCGACGUCCCAGUCGUGCAUUGGGAAAUCCUGCUGGACCUAAGUCGCAAAGUUUACUUAUCGUGCUGCCAUCUGCUAUAAUAAAUUA